CCUACGGGGGGCUGCAGUGAGGAAUAUUGGUCAAUGGACGAGAGUCUGAACCAGCCAAGUAGCGUGAAGGAUGACUGCCCUAUGGGUUGUAAACUUCUUUUAUCUGGGAAUAAAAUGUGGCACGUGUGGGAUUUUGUAUGUACCAUAUGAAUAAGGCUCGGCUAACUCCGUGCCAGCAGCCGCGGUAAUACGGAGGAUCCGAGCGUUAUCCGGAUUUAUUGGGUUUAAAGGGUGCGUAGGGGGAGUGUUAAGUCAGUUGUGAAAGGUUGCGGCUCAACCGUAAAAUGGCAGUUGAAACUGGGAGGCUUGAGUACGGGAGAGGUAGGCGGAAUGCGUGGUGUAGCGGUGAAAUGCUUAGAUAUCACGAAGAACUCCGAUUGCGAAGGCAGCUCACUGGACUGCAACUGACACUGAGGCACGAAAGUGUGGGGAUCAAACAGGAUUAGAUACCCUGGUAGUC
rnacentral:rRNA from 1 species